AUGGACUGCAGUACAGAUGAUGUGGCGCACGACUCUCCAGGAAACAACGGCUCCUGCUCUGAUGACGACGUGCCGUUCUCGAAGCUCAUGAAUAAACCACGCAGGGAGGAGAAACCGUCACGUGGAAACGGGCACAGAUCCAGUUCUAAUUCGGCAAAGGACAAAAGUGCUUCUCCUGCUGAAGCUUCCGAUGACUCUUCAGAUGACAAACCUUUGAUAAAAAAGAAAAUUGUCUCCGCUGCACCAGCUAAAAAAAUUGAGAAAAAAGGCAACAAGUCAAUCAGAUCUAAUGGCACAAAUGACAAAGCAGAUACAAACUCCGAUGAUGGCUCGGACAAUGAGGCGCUCAAAACGAUCCCUAAAAAGUCAUCUAAAGCUGCAAAGAAUUCUAUCUCCAAGGCCUCCAAAAAAUCAGUCCCUUCAAAGAAGAAAGAAUCGCUGGAGGACGAUAAAAGCUCAGGGGACGAGCAUUCGAUCGAGCCCCGCAAGAAAAGUUACCCAAAGAGAAAGGCCUCUUGUACUCCGCCUAGGAAAGUGGCGCCAGUAGUGAAAUCCAAAAGGAAUUUAGGGAGGGAAAAGGUUAAAUAUGCAGAGUCUUCAACUGACGGCUCAGACAAUGAACCGCUGUCAACGUUGAUGAGGAAGAAGGCACAGGCUCCUAAAGGGCAAACGACUUCACCAAAUAGCAAGAAAACCAAACCCACGGACAAAUCCCCCAAAGACAGCAGCUCAGACAACGACGACGACGAUGACGAUGAUGAUGAUGAUGAUGAUGAGAGCAACGACGACCUGCCUCUGAACCUUGUUUCCAAGAAGAAACAAGGGAAGAAAAAUGCAAAGAAGGCCACUGCGUCGCCAGGCGGAGCGUCGAGAAAGCGACACGGACUCGUAGAUGACGGCUCAGAUUCUGAACCGCUGUUUAAUUUAGUGAAAAAGAAGCGCACAGACAAAGAAACGCAAAAAAGAGCGAAGGCUUCACCUGCAAAGAAAAAGACAAUUCCCAAAAAGCCAAGAAAGACGGCUGAGUCGGGACUCUCAGAUGACGGUUCAGAUUACGAACCGCAAAUUAAUGUUGUGAAAAAGAAACGCACAAACAAACAAACACAAAGAAAAGCGAAGGCUUCACCUGUGAAGAAAAACACAACUCUCAAAAAAUCAAGAAAGACCCCCGAGUCGGAGUUGUCAAGCAUCAGUUCAGAUGAUGAACCCUUAAGCAAAGCAGUCAAACACCCUCAAGUGACCAAAACCCUGAACAUUAUGCUGGAGAGGUGUGAUGUAGAAGAAGCUGGGGACGCAGGGAGCCUGAACAAAACCAAACAAGAGACACAGGUCGAUGAGAAAACGUCAAGGGAGGAGUCUGAGGAAUCACCAGAAGAAGAAUAG
ensembl:lncRNA